rnacentral:pre_miRNA from 1 species
GGACCAAAGCCCACCGUGCUGGAGAGGUGAGUUUCGUACACUUAAUUAAUAGGAUCGGCCGUUAAUAAAAGUAUGCCGAACUCGCAGGCGACGGAUGCGCGAUCACCA